CCGGAGAGUGUUCCCCCCUGGCCUGGGACUUCUAGGAAAAAACUUGUCAUACUCAGAGCCACGAUUCCAAAUGGGGAGGUCUGGGCACAGGUGGGUGGGGUUCUGUGUUGACCGUCAGAGAGGUAGCCCUGGGGUGCGUUCUGAGGUUUCGACGAGGUCACAGCAUGGAGGGGAAAAACCUCACGUGCUUGCCUCCAGGAGCCCAGGACCGUUGGAAAAGCAGCCAAUCUCUACCCUCCCCGGGUCUCAACGGACAGUGUAGAAGGAGGGAAGAAGGUGGGGAGAGAGGUCUCAACCAACUGGUCCAGGAGGAGGGAAAUGCGGUCAUUGGUGGGGACAGAGAUGUCCUCAAGGAGAAGGGGCAGGACGGGGGAGCUGGAGAGGGGUGAGAGGUCAGGGUUUUCCAGGUGGGCCUCAGCAUGGACCAAAAUAGAUGGGCAGGGCUGGUGAUCGGUGUUCAGAGGUCAGAAGAGAAGGCAGGGAGAAAGACAACUGCUCACAGCCUCAGUGCCCCAGCCUCCUUCUGGCUUCUCUGCUUGCCUUUUCAGUCAUUUCGGAGCAUGGGUGGGCUCACCGUGGACCAUCUCACAGCCCAGAGACAGGCCGGGCCUCCGAUGGAUGGAGAGCUAUGAGGUCAGUGGGGAAGGUAAGAGCUAUGAGGUCAGUGGGCCCUGUUAUUUCUGGACCAGCCCUCUGUCGUCAUCAGAUCCUCGCUGGGUGACGUGUCUAGACAGGAGGAGGAGCCUCGCAGUGGAGGCUGGUGAUGCCACCUCUCACCGCACUGGGUCUUCACGUUUGUGGUCAAGGUCACACCCAAGGUCACAGAGAAGGGAACCACGCCCAGGUUGGAGGGGAGCCAGAGUGAGUCCCCAGGCUUUUCUGUCCCUUGCUGUUUAUGUGCCUCACUCUGCCACCCCUGAAAAGUGAGCCUCUCGUCCCUUGGGGACUUUGGCUGAUAUUCACAUAGAGAUACCUGUUCCAGGCGAUCUAUGCAGGGCUCCCCUGGUGUGCUCAGUGGUAAAGAAUCCGCCUGUCAGUGCAAGAGACACGGGGUGCCAUCCCCGAUCUGGGAAGAUCCAAUGAGCCGUGGAGCAACUAAGCCCAAGCACCACGACUACAAUCUCACGCUCUCAAGCCCAGGAGCCCACGUGUCACAGCUGCUGAAGCCCGAGCACCCCAGAGCCCAUGAUCUACAACAAGAGAAAAGCCACCGCGGUGAGAAGCCCGAGCAGCAGAGCUAGCGAAACGCCCAGGCAGCAACAGCCGUAAAGAAAUAUUUAUUUUAAAAAAGAACGGAGUGACCACCAGUGCCCAGAUGCCUCCCAGCUCAGGGUGUGAGAUUGGACUUGAUUUGGGGCCAACACCUCCAGUCCCCGGAGCCAGCUCUGUGAGCUGAAAACAUGCACCAACUCUCCAGUAAUACCACUGCAGCCAGCCAGAGUCUCAACAAUUUAAGGCUUAACACACACAACAUAAAUCAGAGGAGGAUGGACCGGCCGACCGGCAGUUUCUUGGGCGGAUGCCUGCAGACUGUCUGCAGAUCAGACCCUGCCUGUUUGGGUUAUUUGAGACCUUUUUUUUUUUUUUUUUGGUAAUAUAAAGAUGAGAAACUGGGUGGAGCAGUGCACAGAGGCACACUGGUGUUUGCCCUUUCUUGUUCUGAUGGCCCCUGCUUCUUCCUAAGUGCUGUUUUGAAGGGACUGCUCAGGAAGCUUCGUUUUCGCUCUUAACCAAAGACUCAGACUGUGUUCGAGCUGGGCAGGACAGGCAGAGGGAAGCCGAGCGCUCCAAUAUGGAUGCUGUCCGUGUGACCUUCAUGCAGUCAUUCCAUCUUGCUGGGCUUCCAGUGUCUCCUCUAUCUGAUGGGGUGGGGGAACCAUCUCAUGUUGGUUUAGCUUUCUCUGACUCACUCAUCUCCAGUGCUCAGAAGUUCAAAGUCACCAUAUAAGAACUGCCUGAAAGUGAAAGCGUUAGUCGCUCAGUCGUGCCCGACUGUAGGCGUGGACUGUAGCGCGCCAGGCUCCUCUGUCCAUGGG